rfam:Triticum aestivum genome assembly, contig: Triticum_aestivum_CS42_TGACv1_scaffold_222170_3B
UAAAUACUCCCUCCGUCUCAAAAUUCUUGUCUUAGAUUUGUCUAGAUAUGGAUGUAUCUACCGUAUCAAGUCACGUUUUAGUAUUAGAUACAUCCAUAUCUAGACAAAUCUAAGACAAGAAUUUUGGGACGGAGGGAGUAGUAA